GCUGCUGGUACGCCGGUACGACGACGGCGGCGUUCGCAUCACCGUCGGCUCGCGGGCCUCGACGCGGGCGGUGAUCCGCACCGUCGCAGCGGCG
rnacentral:tRNA from 1 species